CCGAGUUUACAACUCCCAAACCCAUGUGAACAUACCUAUCGUUGCCUCGGCGGGAAAGCCCCGGGCGCUGGCGCAAGCCUUCGCACCGGUACCAGGCGCCCGCCGCAGGACCCAAAACAAACCCUUGAAUUCUAAAGCAUCUUCUGAGUGGUAUAAGCAAAUAAAUUA
rnacentral:misc_RNA from 2 species